UCCACUUCCCACUCCAAAGCGCAGUCUCUCCUACUAUGCGGAUUGAAAAGAACCUAAGAAAGGAAAAAAAAAAAAAAAUAUUCAGGAAACAUGAGUUUGGACGAAACCCUAGCGGUCACCACCGCCCAAGAAGACGAAGAGUUCUUGUUCGCUUUCAAACAAGACAUGAUCUCGUGCGUUCCCCUGGUCUUGAAGUCCACGAUCGAGCUCGGCAUCCUCAAGCUCUUGUCCGAGAGCUCUGCUCAGCUCUCGCCCAUCCACAUUGUGUCCCGCCUCUCCAUCAAGAAUCCCGAUGCUGCAAUCACCAUCAACCGCAUCCUGCGUUUGGUCGCCAGCUUCUCUUUCCUCUCGUGCACCCUCAUGCAGGACAAAGCCAGGCGGCCUAAGAGGACGUACCGCCUGGGCCCCUUGAGCAAGUACUAUGUGAGUGAGCAAGGGGCUAGCAUGGCGCCAUGGUUGCUUUUACUCUUUGACGAGGUUUCCUUGAGAACGUGGAACGCAGAUAAAUGAAUUCGAACUGUCACAUUUUGUGGGACUCACCAUGUUCGAUAGUUUUACUUAAAAGAUGAAAUGAUUUAGGGAAAAGACAACCCUUUCAAGCUGGCGAACGGCGCGAUCCUCUUCGACUACACUGGGAUAGACCCAAGGUACAACAGCCACUUCAACAAUGCCAUGAAGUGUAUGUCUACCAUUUUCAUGGGCAAAUUCAUGGUCACUUAUUGCGAAUUCGAGAAUGCCAAAAUGGUUGUCAACAUCGGCGGUGGUGACGGUAAAUGCCUUAAGUUUUGGAAAUUUCCUAUAAUAUGGGCUUACAUUAAUUAAUUGAUUUUCUAUUUUAAAUAAUCGGGUUAAUGGAUAUUCCAAUAUUUUUUAUACCUUAAAGUGAUUUGAUUGAAUUGGGUAUUGGCAUCUAUUGUUAACGGGCCUAGUUGAGCAGCAAAGUGUAGGCAAUUGUAUUUGAUUGAAGCCCGUAAUGGGAAGGGCCCGAUUGACACACUGUUGAUUAUGGUUUGCUAGGUCCCCUCUCUAGCCUAUAAAAAGGUAGGUUAUACCUAUCAGUUGCUUUAAUCCCAUUGAAAGCUGCUAUACCGAAAUAGGUCAUAGAGAGGAAGAUCUGGUAUUCCAAUAGAUCAUUGAUUAUCAGAGUGAUCUAGUUUUCUUCAAGUAAAGCAAUGGCUCAAACAGGUACGCUUUAAUUCUGCUGUAUUUAUUGAUUUCGGUGUUUUACAAUCAUGUAUGGAUCCGUUUGUUCUUAAUUGAUCAAUUUUUUAUGAGAAUAAUAUUCUACAUGCGGUAUCAGAGCUAGUCAUAUAUGAUUGUAGAACCCAAAUUUUAUAUUUUUAUGGACAAAUUCGAAAUUUUCCUCUUUGAGCCAAAUAUGGGCAUUGUCUUUCGUGUGGAUUUUUUUGCUUGAUUGAUCCUAAAACCAUAAGGCUUUUUUUCUACAUGUCGAGAUCUUUCCAAUCAUAUAUAAUUUGUAUAAUUUCAUUGAGAACUGAGAGAGAAUUUUAAAUUUGAAAUUCUAGGCUUUAUACCUAAAAAGUUCUAGAAUUUUCAAAUUACUUGUUCGUCGUAAAUUGUUGCAUGGGUAUUUUUAUGUAUGUGUUUUAGCAUCCUUUUGUUGCAUUAAAGUAAGCCCCCAUCUUCCUCUCCGUUCUCUAGAUUUUGAAAUCUUAAUUUGGAAAACCAUUGCUUCAUGUUCGUUCCUUCAGUGACAUGAUUAUUUUGGCGUGAUCGUUCGAUAAUCGAUUUGGUUUUUCUUGGAUGGGUUUGGUAUGGGAGGGGUACAAGUAUGGAUUUGGAUUGCUUUGCUAUUGAUAGCCUCUUAUGCGCAUGUUUCGCAUUCUUGUUUCGGUGCAAUGACCCCGUUAGAUGCUGACAUUCGGCGUUUUUGGAUGAUGGGUUUGCAAAGAUUUUUUUUUUUUUUUUGUGCCUGUUCAAGGGUUAAGUUGAUCUCUUAAAUCAGAAGUUUUUUUUUUUUUUUUUUUUUUUAAUGUUCUGGAAAUUGUGGAAUGAAGGGUCUUCAUUCUUUUAUGUCCUGGGGCUAUGUUUAUGGCGGGGGAGGAGCUGACGGUGUUUGUUUAAUUGAAUAAAAAUAAUGCAUUCACAUUGAGUAGAUUGGACAUCAAAAUAUUAAUUUUUCUAAUGAUCCAUGCAUGAAACGCCGGAAACCCACCGACGACGAGCACGUCCGAUUCACCGCGCGAGAAGGACUGUGUGAUUGGGCGCGGUCCCGCGCCCCCUCGCGAAACCCUAGGGCUCCUGUUUCGGGUGUCAAGGAGUUGGGUUUUUUUUUUUUUUAGUUCGGAUUCGAUUGGAAUGUGAUUCGUUGAGGUGGUUCUUCGUUUGCAAUGUGGCGUGCGGAUGUGGAUUUACUUUUGAGUAUUGUUCUUCUUUGGCACUUUAAUGCUGCUGGGACUAGGGAUUUUAUUACUUCAGGCGGUUUUGCAUGAGAAUAAGUGGCAUGCUUGCCGGGGAUUUUGAUUUGUGUGUGAAUUGAGUGUAUAAUUUGAUAAUUCUUUAUGGGAUAUCCGUUUUGGCUGAGUAGUAGGGAAAAGUAGUUAGAACGAUGGCUUCUUGAGUAGUUCUGGUUUUGUGUGAGGCGUUUUGUAGCUAGAUGGAAGCGGAUGAUUCCGUGGGAAUCGGAGACCGUUAGUGAUGUUUUCUCUCGUUGUGGCGAAUUCAAGAUCAGUUUUUUCAAUGAAAUUUAGAUGAAUUCCAUUAAUGGUAAUCGUGGGUACUGCUUAUGGAUUGCUGAACUUGGCUUUCUUUGAUGGAUGGUGAACUUCUCAUUCGAUUAUGCCCUAUAAGCAAUGGUCUGUGAUAGUAUUUUAUGUGAACGAUCAUUGCGUAGAAGAGAAGGGAAAGUAAGUUUAAGAGGGCAAUUGGAUUAGAGAUCUUCUUCUAUAUCAAUCUUGAUUUUUGCUAGUAACAAACAAUAUUGCUUGCGCCAUGCACGGGAUCUUACUCUAUUCACACUCUCUCGCAUAAAUUGACAUUGUGAUAGCAGAUAUUGUAACUUAUUAUCAUAGAUUGAAUUCAGAAACAUUUAAAAAAAAAAUUGCAGAAGUGAUGCUAUCUUUCAUAACAUAUUGCAAUUCUUGCUGCAGAAUCAACAUUCACUUUUCUAUUUGCUGUUUUGUCUUAAUCUCUUGCCUAUAUGUACUUGGGAUUUGACAUGAGUGCUUAAGAUUGCUAGUGAGACUUUAAUUUAUUAAUUUAAACAUGAGGACCUAUUAACUAAAGGUGAUAGAAUGGUGGGUUGUUUUCCCUGUCUGGAGUAAUUGGGUGCCUUGGUAUUUGGUGCACGAGUAAUUUAAAUUUAAUACGAAAUAUGUUGAUUGAAGUGCUAGAGGCACCUAUCUUUUCUUUUGUUGGGUUAAUUCGGUGAUUUGGAUUAAAACCAUCUUUCUGACCCCAAAAAAAAAAAAAAAAAAAAAAAA